GCCCCUGCAGCGCGAUGUAUAGCGCGUUGGACUUCAAGUCCAAAUAUCGUGGGUUAGAAUUCCACUUGGGGAU